GUUUUUCAGUGUACCUACCCUUGGCUGUCCUCGAACUCACAGAGAUCUGCCUGCCUCUGCUUCCUGAGCGCUGGGAUUAAAGGUGUGUGCAUCACCACCUCCCCACGUUUUCUCUAGAUUUUAAGGACAAAGCAAGCUGUCCCAGACAUCUGCUGAUGCUGGGUCAGAAAUCUGCCUUUUUAGAGGAAGUUUCAUCCGCAGUAGUGUAGCACCACCUUGUGGUCACCAGCAGAAAGUCACUCUAGACACUUGCAUGGGAUGGAGGUUAGAAGCCAAGGAACCUUGAUAGCAAGUCUCAUCAUAGGCCCAGUCAGUUCCAGGUACAGUACUAUGCACUUCACAGACCUUCAUGAAAUUCUUAGUCUGUAAGACAGGGUCUUUGCAGGUAAGAAGGCCGGCCUGGAAAACUCACCAUGCUCCUGCAUCCAGAGUGCUAACGUUACAGGCGUAACAUCACAUGUUGGCCAGGUCCAGGGGUCGAACCCAGUCUUCCCGUAUAUUGGACAAACACUGCACUAAACUACACCCCCAGUCCUUUGUUUGGAUUUCAUUAGUUUGUCCAGGCUGACUUUGAUUUGCCCAAGCCUCCCAAGUAGCAGGGAUUACAGGCAAUUACUAAUACCAAGCUGGUUCCUAGUUGAGCGCUGGUAAGGCUAAGCCUGCCAAGUUCUGGGAUUCCUGGAGAUGGCUCUACCCUCCAGGGUAGUUCAUGAGCUAGGACGUACACUUAUAGAGCACCAUGGAGAUGGCUGUCUGCACGGGCCUCUAGUUCUCAUUCGGCCUCACCUCACCUGGGGGCAUCCAAACAGCUGCAAGACAAGAAAGGGUCCUGUCUCACAAGCUCUAAUGCCAUGUUUCCAUACCCCCUGGCCAGUCAGCUCCUCAUCCCCUGAGGUACAGUCCCAUCAGGGUGGGUCUUGGCAGAUGCAAAUUCCAACUGGCACUCACUCAAGUUGGCUGCAGGGAGGACGCUGGCAUGAGUCUGAAAUUCCACCUUGGCAUUCAGCCCUCAGUCUAGUGGGCCUGUCUGGGAGUGGUGUGGUGUGGGAAUGGAGCCGGAGAACAAAAGAUGGUAAGCGCCCAGACAGGAGAGUGCGCAGCUUACACAUCCUGUACUUCCAACAGCUUGACUUUAAUUAAGACUACACCGAGGCAUGCUGUAGGAGAGAUGCCACCUUUGCUGUGCUGCAUUGCAUGCCUGCCUCUUGGCAGAGAAGACUGGUUUAAUCCGAGUACCUUCUGGGCUGCACAAGAAAAGCACCGGAAAGGCCUGAUGGCCCAGAAGACACAGAGCAACUCAAAAAAAGAGAAAG